rnacentral:rRNA from 1 species
GGGUCAGUAGGUUGGUCGUGCCACCGGUACGUACUGGUCUCACUGAUUCCUCCUCCCUGAAGAACCGUAAUGCCAUUAAUCUGGUGUUGCGGGGAAACAGGACUGUUACUUUGAAAAAAUUAGAGUGUUUAAAGCAAGCUAACGCUUGAAUACAUUAGCAUGGAAUAAUGAAAUAGGACGAUCGAUCCUAUUUUGUUGGUUUCUAGGAUUGACGUA